rnacentral:rRNA from 1 species
CGUGUANAUAUUUGACGGUACCNUUAGAAUAAGGAUCGGCUAACUUCGUGCCAGCAGCCGCGGUAAUACGAAGGAUCCAAGCGUUGUCCGGAUUUACUGGGUUUAAAGGGUGCGUAGGCGGACUCAUAAGUCAGUGGUGAAAGCCUUCACUUAACUGAAGAACUGCCAUUGAAACUGUGAGUCUCGAGUUCGGUUGAGGUCAUUGGAAUGUAACAUGUAGCGGUGAAAUGCAUAGAUAUGUUACAGAACACCAAUUGCGAAGGCAGAUGACUAAACCGAAACUGACGCUGAGGCACGAAAGCGUGGGGAUCAAACANGGAUUAGAUACCCUGGUAGUCCACGCCCUAAACGUUGAAUACUCGACCUUAGCGAUAUACAGUUAGGGUCCAAGCGAAAGCGUUAAGUAUUCCACCU